GGAGGUAUAGCUCAGUGGUAGAGCACAUGCCUAGCAUGCACAAGGUCCUGGGUUCAAUCCCCAGUACCCCCA
rnacentral:tRNA from 1 species